CAAUAUACAGCCUUGACAUACUCCUUUUCCUAUUUGGAACCAGUCUGUUGUUCCAUGUCCAGUUCUAACUGUUGCUUCAUAGUUAGGACCAAUUGCUCGUCUUUUCUGCUUAGUCCCCAAGAAGAAAAGACAAUAUUUCUAGAGGUAGAUCGGGAAUAAAUAACCUCUCCUCGGGUGGAUGAGCAGAAGGCCCAGGGGGCAGGUUCAAAGGCUCUCUUAGUCACCCUUGAGAGCCUGUUAAAUUUUGUUCAGUCAUGUGCGUGUGUUGUCAGCAGCUUCCUAGCCUGACUUCUCCCUUCUUGUGACUCAGGUUCUUGAAACUCCGGUUCCUCAGCCUUUUUUUUUUUUCAUCAGGAAAUUUAAACCCAGCCGUCCCCAGAUCAAGACUGGAACAGCUCCUCCAAUGCUGGGCACUUCUCACCUGCUAACAAGACAGAGGAGCGACCUGGAAAGGUCCAGCCACCUCCUCUCCCAUCCUCUGGCCCCCUUUCUACCACCCGCCUCACACAUGAAAUAGUUUCUCAUCCUCAUCUGUUGGCAGAAACUCCAACUUUAGCACUCCACUUUUUAAAAAUAGAUCGCUGUUAAAAUUCCCCCAGAAGGGAUAACCUUAAAAUUAUUAUUAGGCACUGACACGUUGGGGAAAAGAAAGGAAUUCAGCGAUUUUGAAAGAGGAUGUGCUGGAGACGGUUGGGGGUUGGGGAGAUACCUAACUAACAUUUCUUGAGAAGCCGCCUGAUGUCAGAAGCUUCAUGAAUGUGGACAAGGAUUAUCCUCAGCCCCGAAAGGCAACUGGUGUUCUCUUCCAUGUUAAGUGAGACACGUGAAGAAGCCCAGAGAAGCUGAGUCACGCUUAAAAUCACACAGCAGGUUGGACCUGGAGUCUGGACUGGAACCCUGGAGCUAGGAAGGGAGAGACAGCAACCCACACACCGUCUGGCUUUAGCUUCAGAUCACAGAAACGUCACAAACCAUGGUAGUAUCUGCAACUUUGUCCCCGGUGCUCUCCAAGGACCCAGGAACGGGUGGGUCGCACGUGGUUCCUGCCCUCCCAGAGCUGUCCUGAGAGCCCAGGGAGUCCCAGCUUCCUCCUUGGAAUUGC
rnacentral:lncRNA from 1 species